UACGUAGGGUGCGAGCGUUAAUCGGAAUUACUGGGCGUAAAGCGUGCGCAGGCGGGCUUUUAAGCCAGACGUGAAAUCCCCGGGCUUAACCUGGGAAUGGCGUUUGGGACUUGAAGUCUGGAGUGCGGCAGAGGAGACUGGAAUUCCUGGUGUAGCAGUGAAAUGCGUAGAUAUCAGGAGGAACACCGAUGGCGAAGGCAGGUCUCUGGGCUGACACUGACUCUCAUGCACGAAAGCGUGGGGAGCAAACAGG
rnacentral:rRNA from 1 species